rnacentral:lncRNA from 1 species
GGGCUUCUUCGUCGGAUGAGGGCUUUCCACCUCGUCGUCGCCGGACAUGAAGAAGUUUCGCGACAAAGGCUCCGGGAAGGCCGGUAAGUUCAGAUCAAACGAUUCACGGUGUUGUUGGCUGACGGUGUGAGUGGUUGACCCCACUCCCUCCGAGGUGGUCACGGCGCUGGUGGUGGUGGUUGCGGCGGACUUGGUGGCGGUGACGCCGCCCUCGUAGUGGCAACGCUUGUGCCCUCCCAAGGCCUGGCCGGUGGGGAAAGACUUGUGGCAGAUGGAGC